rnacentral:rRNA from 1 species
CCUACGGGUGGCAGCAGUGAGGAAUAUUGGUCAAUGGCCGCAGGGCUGAACCAGCCAAGUCGCGUGAGGGAUGACGGUCCUAUGGAUUGUAAACCUCUUUUGUCAGGGAGCAAAGGGCGCCACGUGUGGCGCUUUGCGAGUACCUGAAGAAAAAGCAUCGGCUAACUCCGUGCCAGCAGCCGAGGUAAUACGGGGGGUGCGAGCGUUAUCCGGAUGUAUUGGGUUUAAAGGGUGCGGAGGCGGAAUGUCAAGUCAGCGGUAAAAUUUCGGGGCUAAACCCCGUCGUGCCGUUGAAACUGGUCUUCUUGAGUGAGCGAGAAGUAUGCGGAAUGCGUGGUGUAGCGGUGAAAUGCAUAGAUAUCACGCAGAACUCCGAUUGCGAAGGCAGCAUACCGGCGCUCAACUGACGCUGAGGCACGAAAGCGUGGGGAUCGAACAGGAUUAGAUACCCGAGUAGUC